rnacentral:sRNA from 1 species
CUGGCAGAGUGCGGAUUGCAGGGGCAUGUGCACAGAGAAGAUGGGCCAGGGACAGAGUAGAGAGCAGCUGCUGCCCCGGGGACCCACCUGGGGUGGCCAUGGGAGCUGGUGGCUGGAGGCCAGGAGGACCCGUGACCAGAGGUGAUGGCACUGAGGGGCCCAGGGCUGGAGAGACCACCCCUCACCUGUCCAGAGCUGAGGCAGGAGCAGUGCUGGGGAGGAUGCCAGGUCGGGGGAGCUGGCCCUGAGAGGAGAGGGGGGCUGGGAGCUGGCGCCCUGAGCCCUGGCCCUGAUCCACCCCAGCCCUGUGUAGCCCAACAGCCCUUCCCCUCCCUGCCCAGCCCCUCCCCCUGCAAGGCGCUCUCCCCUCUUCUCCCCCAGGGGCCACAGGCAGACCACCCCUCUGUCUCUCACAGACGCCCCUCUGUCUCUCGCAGAACCCUCCUCUGCCUCUCCCAGACUCAGAUGUUUCUUCCUGCCCUGGGGUAGUCCCAGGCCCUGCCCCCGGGCAAAGCCAAACUGGGGGCUCCAGGGGCUCCCCUGCACCAAGGUCUGCAGAGUCAGUUUCUUCCUCCUGCACCACAGAGGGCGGGGCUUCCUGCCCACCCCACCCAUGCCACUGCCCACCAUCGCCAUCUCCCACACAGGGCCUGGAGAACAGCUGGCGCAAGCACCGCGAGGCCGCGGCGUAUCUGCAUGGGCGCCUGCAGGCACUGGGGCUGCAGCUCUUCGUGAAGGACCCGGCGCUCCGGCUGCCCACAGUCACUACUGUGGCUGUGCCCGCUGGCUAUGACUGGAGAGACAUCGUCAGCUAUGUCAUGGACCACUUCGACAUUGAGAUCAUGGGUGGCCUUGGGCCCUCCACGGGGAAGGUGCUGCGGAUCGGCCUGCUGGGCUACAAUGCCACCCAUGAGAAUGUGGACCGCGUGACAGAGGCCCUGAGGGCGGCCCUGCAGCACUGCCCCAAGAAGAAGCUGUGACCUGCCUGCUGGCACACACCUGGCGCUGGCACACACCUGGCCCAUGCCCACCCCGAGGGAUCAGGAGGAUCAGGAGCAAACAGAUCCUGCAAGGUCCUCCAGGCCUGGGGACAGGAAAGCCACUGACCCAGCCCAGGAGGCAGAACCAGGCAGCCCUUUUCCCUCCAGUGGCACCUCCUGGAAACAGUCCACUUGGGCGCAGAACCCAGUGCCUUCCAAAUGAGCUGCAGUCCCCAGGCCAUGAGCCUCCCGGGAAUGUUUAAUAAAGGGCCUGGCCACCUCUCCUCACUGUGUGGGGUGGUCUGUGAAAGAGUCUGACAGGAGAGCAUCUCUGCUCCCUGAGCUGCCUGAUUGUGGACUUUAGGGGGACAGUCCUCAUCCUGGAGCCCACAGGGUAGAUCCUUCCCUGGAGGGGGUGCUGUUACCACACUCUAGCCCCAGAUGUCACACCCCCAAACGUUCUCACGCACCACAUCCAGGUGAACCCACACAGCCCACAGGGCUGGUUGGAGACCCCUGUCAUGGACAAGGGCACCUGCGUGCUGGAGAGCGCACAGCCAGGACCUGAGCCCAUGACACGUGGAAACCUCCAGUGGAAGGUCCCCUAUGCUCCCAUCCAGCCAGUGCCCACCCCUUAACUGCCUGACUUCUGUGACCAUAGAUCAGCCUGGCAUAUUUGAAUUUAUUUAUUUAUUUAUUUAUUUAUUUAUUUUGAGAUGGAGUUUCACUCUUGUUGCCCAGGCUGGAGUGCAGUGGCAUGAUCUCAGCUCACUACGACCUCCGCCUCCCGGGUUCAAGCGAUUCUCCUGCCUCAGCCUCCAGAUUAGCUGGGACUACAGGUGUGCACCACCAUGCCCGGCUAAUUUUUGUAUAGUACAGAUGGGGUUUCACCAUAUUGGCCAGGCUGGUCUCGAACUCCUGACCUCAAGUGAUCCACCUGCCUCGGCCUCCCAAAGUGCUGGGAUUACAAGCGUGAGCCGCCGUGCCCGGCUAUAGUUGAAUUUCAUGUUCAGUGAAACACACGGCAGGUCCUCCACUGUGCCAGCUUCUUUCACUUACUGUUUUUGACACUCACACGUGCUGUUGUGGGUGCCGAUGUGUCUUUGUUGCUGAGUGCCGUCCCGUCAUAUGGACGUGCCGUUGUGGGCGCUGAUGUGUCUUUGUUGCUGAGUGCCGUCCUGUCACAUGGACACAUCACAAUUUGUUGGUUCAUCACCAUAAAUGAGCAUCUGGGUUAUUUCUAUCUGGGGGCUGUUAUGAAUAUGGAGGUAGUGAAAUUCUUACUCAAGCCUUCACGUGACCAUGUAUUUUCAUUCUUCUUGGAUAAAUAACUAGGAGUGGAAUUGCAGGGUCAUACAAGAGGCUUAACCUUAUACGAGACUGCCACGAAGUUCUCCGAAGUGGCUCUUCCAUGCUUCAUUCCCGCAGCUACGCACAAGCGUCCAGGGUGCUCCACGUCCUCACCCACACUCAGUGUUGUCUUUUUUUGCUAGGGGGUGUAAAAUCGUGUCUGAUUUGGUUUUAGUUUGCAUUUCCUGGAUGCCUAUUGAUGUUGAGCAACUUCUCAUAUGCUAUAGGCCGUUUGUAGAUCUUCUGAAAAGUGUCAGUUCAAAUAUUUUGGUCAUAUUUGGAUUUUUAUCUUUUUAUUGUCAAUGUGUGAUCAUUUUAAAAUAUAUUCUAGAUACUAUGAGA